rnacentral:rRNA from 1 species
UACAGGGGGGGCAAGCGUUGUUCGGAAUUACUGGGCGUAAAGGGCCAGUAGGCGGCCAACUAAGUCCGACGUGAAAUCCCCAGGCUUAACCUGGGAACUGCGUCGGAGACUGGAUGGCUUGAAUUCGGGAGAGGGAUGCAGAAUUCCAGGUGUAGCGGUGAAAUGCGUGGAUAUCUGGAGGAACACCGGUGGCGAAGGCGGGUCUCUGGGCCGAUACUGACGCUGAGGAGCGAAAGCGUGGGGAGCGAACAGG